CGCCAGACUCCUACGGGAGGCAGCAGUGGGGAAUAUUGCACAAUGGGCGAAAGCCUGAUGCAGCAACGCCGCGUGAAGGAAGACGGUUUUCGGAUUGUAAACUUCUAUCAAUAGGGAAGAAAGAAAUGACGGUACCUAAAUAAGAAGCCCCGGCUAACUACGUGCCAGCAGCCGCGGUAAUACGUAGGGGGCAAGCGUUAUCCGGAUUUACUGGGUGUAAAGGGAGCGUAGACGGCAUGGCAAGUCUGAAGUGAAAGCCCGGGGCUCAACCGCGGGACUGCUUUGGAAACUGUUAAGCUGGAGUGCAGGAGAGGUAAGUGGAAUUCCUAGUGUAGCGGUGAAAUGCGUAGAUAUUAGGAGGAACACCAGUGGCGAAGGCGGCUUACUGGACUGUAACUGACGUUGAGGCUCGAAAGCGUGGGGAGCAAACAGGAUUAGAUACCCCAGUAA
rnacentral:rRNA from 1 species